ACUCCUACGGGAGGCAGCAGUGGGGAAUAUUGGACAAUGGGCGCAAGCCUGAUCCAGCCAUGCCGCGUGUGUGAUGAAGGCCUUAGGGUUGUAAAGCACUUUCGCCGAUGAAGAUAAUGACUGUAGUCGGAGAAGAAGCCCCGGCUAACUUCGUGCCAGCAGCCGCGGUAAUACGAAGGGGGCUAGCGUUGUUCGGAAUUACUGGGCGUAAAGCGUACGUAGGCGGAUUGUUAAGUGAGGGGUGAAAUCCCGAGGCUCAACCUCGGAACUGCCUUUCAUACUGGCAAUCUUGAGUCCGGGAGAGGUGAGUGGAACUCCUAGUGUAGAGGUGAAAUUCGUAGAUAUUAGGAAGAACACCAGUGGCGAAGGCGGCUCACUGGCCCGGAACUGACGCUGAGGUACGAAAGCGUGGGGAGCAAACAGGAUUAGAUACCCUGGUAGUCCACGCCGUAAACGAUGGAUGCUAGCCGUCGGGGAGCUUGCUCUUCGGUGGCGCAGCUAACGCAUUAAGCAUCCCGCC
rnacentral:rRNA from 1 species